rnacentral:rRNA from 1 species
AUUGAACGCUGGCGGCAUGCCUUACACAUGCAAGUCGAACGGCAGCGCGGGGCAACCUGGCGGCGAGUGGCGAACGGGUGAGUAAUAUAUCGGAACAUACCCUAGAGUGGGGAUAACGUAGCGAAAGUUACGCUAAUACCGCAUACGCACUAAGGUGGAAAGUGGGGGAUUCGCAAGAACCUCAUGCUCAUGGAGUGGCCGAUAUCUGAUUAGCUAGUUGGUGAGGUAAAGGCUCACCAAGGCGACGAUCAGUAGCUGGUUUGAGAGAACGACCAGCCACACUGGAACUGAGACACGGUCCAGACUCCUACGGGAGGCAGCAGUGGGGAAUUUUGGACAAAUGGGGGGCAACCCUGAUCCAGCAAUGCCGCGUGAGUGAAGAAGGCCUGG